AUGAGCAAGGAAGAGAUUUUCCAGGCCAAGCGAACAGCCUGAGGAAGAGUUGGAAGAAGAAGAGCGAUAGAUAGAGAGAGGAGACAACAAGGUCCCUCUGGGACAGGCUGAAUUCCAGAUGUCUGUGGGACACUAGGCCAUUGGCUAUGGUGGUCUGAGACCCUAAACAGGGGCCUGGGAUAGGGUUUUAGUCUGGUCACCAUGUACACACGGAGGCAGGGUAUAGAGUGAGAAGAUGGGAUGAUUGAAAGGCCUGGGACACGAGCCAGGGAAACGCAGGAUAGAAAUGACUGGCAGAGGCUGGGCACGGUGGCU
rnacentral:lncRNA from 10 species